ACCCCAUGGUUAGGAAAUUUUCUGAUAAUGUCCUUGUAUCUUUCCCAUGCUUCAUAGAUAUUUUCUCCACAAAACAUUCUAAAGCUUGAUAUUUCUGCUCUUACAUC